UAAGCCGGACGCCGCCUCUCCCUUCUUCUCUCUCGGUUCCAACCGAGCCACCGCCACCUCCUUCGUCGAGCCUCUUCUCCGUCGGGCACCAGCCACCGAGCUACAGCCGGCCGCAUCUUCUCUUCUCCGUCGAGCCACGACCUCCUUCUCCUCCUCACGCGAGCGAGCCAUAGCCAUCGGCCUCUCCCCCUUCACCGAACCUUUUCUCCCCAAACCAGUGGCAGCGCUGGUGCUCUUCUCUGUCGAGCCAUAGCACACAGUCUCUUCUCCUCACGCGAGCACCAGAGACUUCUUGCUGUGCCCUAAUUGAUCCGGUAAUAGGUAGAUGAGUCAUGGAUGCUUGGAGAGUCCCAGCUGCCAGUCCCACGACACAUUCGAGGAUAGUUUCUUUUCUGGUUUUGGUUGCUAACGCUAUUUAUGUUUUGGUUUUGUGAACUUGGUAUUGUAUGCUUCGAUAUGGAUUUUGGAGUCUAGUCCGGUGGUUGCAGGCAAUUUAGUUAGUGAUUUUGUCGGUUAUACAUUUGUUUUCUCUUUGUGAUUUUCGCUGCGUUUACAUCCAGCCGUGUAGGCUGAGUAUUUAUUGUUCUGUCUUCCGCUGUGUGUGUGUUUCGAUUUUGUUCCAACCAUUUAGGCUGAUGGUUAUAGAUGAUGGUUAUGGGUUAUUUCAUUUUUGUCCAGCCGGGUAGGCUGAGUAUAUUAAACUGCGUGUCAUGUUGUUUAUAUUUUGUAUAUAUAUUCCAGCCGAGUGUGGCUGAGGUAUAUUUUGUA